GCUUGGUCAGGGUUACUCAGGGUGUCAAACUCUGAGUCUGUUGCUAUACCCCACGUAACAAUGGCGCGCUCCUUGCUGCGUGACAUCACAUUCAUCAUGUGGGGUAGGGACGAGCCUGACGGGAACCUCUGCUGUGUAUUGUGCAGAGUCUCCCACAGAGGACUGGUCUGAAAGAAUGCAGCCCCUGACAGUGAUGCUCAGUCCGAUGCUGUGCUAGCAACAGACCUGUUCCUUGGCUUGGACCAAAUGGGAACCAAGAAUUCAAGCAUUUGAGCCUAUGGGGAUCAUUCUCACUAACCACCAUAAAAGUGAGAUUGAAGAAAUGGCACCGGAUAGUGCAAUGUCCAGCACAUGCAAAUCCUCAACACAAUUUAGAUGUUUUGCUUAUCAAACUGCAUAACCCAGUCUUUCCUGGGGGUUGGUGAGUGGAUAAAAUUGAAUCUCCAACCAAAGCUUGUGAGCCUUACGUAACUCAAGAAAGACGUCUCUGGAAUCCUUUCCUUUAAAUUCUGGAGCCAUGGCCACAGUCACUGCAGUGACAGCAUCACGGUUUCAUAAUGCCGUUGUUUCAGAAGCAUCUGUAGAGACAGCUCUGUGCUGUGUACUUGUCUCCAAGCCCGGGGAACCUGGACAUGAAUGAGACUCUGUUCUUUGUGGGGGAGGUGUGCUUAAAUAGACAUGGUAGAAAGAAGUCUGAGUCAGAGAAAGAAAUGCCGGUCUCAAGUGCUCUGGGGGAGCGGAGGCCCCUCCCUGUGGUCCAAAAGCCUCUGGAGAAUGUGGUGCUCAAAGCCCACAGAGGCAGUCUAUCUCAAUGUGGCUUGAAGAUCCCUUAGGACUUGUCUAACAAUCUUUUCAUCUCUGCCUUUUAAAAUGGGUGUUUUUGCACAUAUUUUAUAUUAUACAUCAUAUACUAGAAUAUGCAUAUGACUCAUAAAUAAGUAAUAUGCAUACACAGGCAUGCCCAAUUGUGUGAUUUUUAUUUAUAGUGGAGAGGAAAGCUUGUUACAGGAAGUGUUUGUUGGCAUCCCAUCCCCCGUGGCUGCUGACUGCUACUUGAGCUCAGGAGAGGAAGGCAGAGUUUGUUAGAAUUUCAGAGCCUUGGAUAAGACACGUACACUCUCUAGAUCUCCUAAUUGUCACUCACUGACAGAAAUAAAAACGUUAAGAAAGGCAGGACAAUGUACAAAAUCUUCUUUGUGGUAAAUAAGCAGAUGUUAUUUUUUUCCACUCAGGGUAAAAACCUGAGUAUUUAGGACACUAAUUUGAGUAGCAGUUCACACACACACACACACACACACACACACACACACACACACACACACACACACAUCAAUGGCAGGGUGUCUGCGAAGCAAAACCAUUUGAUACCUACUUCAGAAGCACAGUCCUUGCUGUUUCCUUGUUAAAAGGUGAGGUACCUACACUACAUCGCUGACUCAUUUGCUGAGCGACAGUCUUGGCUGCCCACUACAGACGUGGCUUCCUGUAUCUCGUCACAUGAUAACAGAUGUGGUUUGGGAAUGGCUACUUUGGCUCUGUUCAUUCUGCUCUGAGUGUUUUCUCAUUCUGGGCCUUGCAGUCCUCAUGCAGGACACACUCAUCUGUAAGACCAAAGAACAAAACAUGAAGCCAGGCCAAGCAUUUCACUGAAAGCUCCACUCAAACACGGCUCAGACCCACUUCUCAUGACGCCUUGAGUGAAGCCCCACACCUGUGGAGCAGGACCCACAGUAGGAAGGGGAGGGGACAUGGUGAACCUUAACAUUCUGCACUGUGUUAUUUUUGAUCUGGGGUCUCUGAAAAACACUCUUGUGCCUCUAUUUCUCUGUUGAUGUUGUCUUUAACUUCUUUAAGUGAAUAAACUUUGGUGAUUUGUU